UACGUAGGGGGCAAACGUUGUCCGGAUUUACUGGGUGUAAAGGGGGCUCAGGCGGUCUUGUAAGUCAGAAGUGAAAUCCUAGGGCUUAACUCUGGAACUGCUUUUGAUACUACAAGGCUUGAAUAUGGAAGAGGAGGAUGGAAUUUCUGGUGUAGCAGUGAAAUGCGUAGAUAUCAGAAAGAACACCAGUGGCGAAGGCGGUCCUCUGGUCCAUUAUUGACGCUAAAGCACGAAAGCGUGGGGAGCAAACAGG
rnacentral:rRNA from 1 species